rnacentral:rRNA from 1 species
GGAGUUAGCCGGUGCUUCUUCUGUGAGUGAUGUCCUUCCUGCCGGCUAUUAACCCGCAGGCCUUCUUCCUCACUGAAAGUGCUUUACAACCCGAAGGCCUUCUUCACACACGCGGCAUGGCUGGAUCAGGGUUGCCCCCAUUGUCCAAUAUUCCCCACUGCUGCCUCCCGUAGGAGUCUGGGCCGUGUCUCAGUCCCAGUGUGGCUGAUCAUCCUCUCAGACCAGCUACGGAUCGUCGCCUUGGUGAGCCGUUACCUCACCAACCAGCUAAUCCGACAUAGGCUCAUCCGAUAGCGCGAGGCCCGAAGGUCCCCCGCUUUCCCCCGUAGGGCGUAUGCGGUAUUAGCCUGGGGUUUCCCCCAGGUUAUCCCCCACUACCGGGCAGAUUCCUAUGCAUUACUCACCCGUCCGCCGCUCGCCACCAGGGAGCAAGCUCCCCGUGCUGCCGCUCGACUUGCAUGUGUUAGGUCCGUCGCCGCCACGCGUUCAAUCUGAGCCACUAAUACAACUACUCGA